rnacentral:rRNA from 1 species
UAGUUUGAUCCUGGCUCAGGACGAACGCUGACGGUGUGCUUUAGACAUGCAAGUCGAACGAGAAAGCCCUUCGGGGUUAGUAAAGUGGCGAACGGGUGAGUAACACGUGGGCAAUCUGCCCUUCGUUGGGGGACAACCGGGGGAAACCCCGGCUAAUACCCCGUACGCUUGUCGGGUCACAUGGCCUGACAAGGAGAGGUAGCUUCGGCCAUCCGGCGAAGGAGGAGCCCGCGGUACAUUAGCUAGUUGGUGAGGUAACGGCUCACCAAGGCUACGAUGUAUAGCUGGUCUGAGAGGAUGAUCAGCCACACUGGGACUGAGACACGGCCCAGACUCCUACGGGAGGCAGCAGUCGGGAAUCUUGCACAAUGGGCGAAAGCCUGAUGCAGCAACACCGUGUGAGCGAUGAAGGCCCUAGGGUCGUAAAGCUCUGUUUGCGAGGACGAAGGGCGAAGGGUUAAUAGCCCUUAGCCUGACGGUACUUGUACAGAAAGCCCCGGCUAACUACGUGCCAGCAGCCGCGGUAAUACGUAGGGGGCGAGCGUUGUCCGGAAUUAUUGGGCGUAAAGAGCGUGUAGGCGGCUUGGUAAGUCUGCUGUGAAACCUUGGGGCUCAACCCCAAGCGUGCAGUGGAUACUGUCAAGCUAGAGGAUGGUAGAGGCCAGUGGAAUUCCCAGUGUAGCGGUGAAAUGCGCAGAUAUUGGGAGGAACACCAGUAGCGAAAGCGGCUGGGUGGGCCAUUCUGACGCUGAGACGCGAAAGCU